UGUGCUCCAAAUUGACUGAAAAUAAAAUUGUUCAGCAUACGCCAAUUUGAAAGCAUGUCCAUAAUUAUUCACUAUCAUCCAUUGUAACCACUAUCAACAUCCUAAUGUCGUUGGUCAAAAAUAGUCACAUGAUGUUUGAUUUACUUUUGCCUUUCAUUCAUGUCAUUUCUAGAUAUCAAUUUUCUUAUUCGUCCAAAGUUCAAUCAAUAAUGAAAAGAUAUUUAUUGUAAAUUUUAUUAUAGCAAAUGAACGUGACGCCAAGAGUUUGUAAAUCCCAUGCAAUUUUUCGUCGUGGUAUAGUGAACUAACUAUCUCGACCUUAUUUAAACCUGAACAUUUUUACGAAGAUGGUUCGAAGUUCUCUGCAAUCUCUCACCAGUUUAAAGAAGCAAAAAACAAAGUGGGAUCUUUAAAUCAAGAUCCAGGGAAUGAAUUGAAGUCAAAGAUGUACGCCCUUUUUAAGCAGGGUUCUUUAGGCAAAUGUAAUACACCAAAGCCUGGGACUUUGGACUUUGUUGGAAAGACAAAAUGGAAUGCAUGGAACGAUUUGGGUGAUUUAUCACAGGUAGAUGCACAAAAACAGUAUAUAGCACUUGUGGAGACUUUACUAGGACAAGAACCCAAGACCAACAGC